rnacentral:lncRNA from 1 species
GAACAAAGGGGAUGGAUUUCAGAAACGUUUCUAAAUCAUAAAUGACUGAACCAGAAGAACUGAAGCUGAUGUCAGAUUUCUCGCUUGGGUGAUGAGGAACAAGGCAGGAAGAGCAGCAAUGAGGAUAGAGGUGGAAGGGCAGCUCAGGAAUUUCCCUGGAGUUUUCCCAUCUUGAGACUUCGGUCUUGGAAGACAGAAUGGCUGUGACAUAAUGUGGACUUUUUACUUCCACCUCUAGGAAAGCGUUCUUUGGAACACCUUUGCUGAGUCUCUCUCUCCUCCGCUCAAGGGAUUCCGCUGACACAUUGCAUUCUUGGGAGAACCUUCCAAUUCCAAUUAUGGACUAGCUGCUCCUACCCUGUGCUCUUCGCUUGGUGACUAUUCUUAUCCCUUUUCAGCCCUUCUCACACUGUUUUGUGACUGUCUCUUUAUCUGUAUUAAGUUGGAUAUGAAUUUGGCUCCUUUCACACAGACCAAAAUAUAAAUAGCUUAAGCAAUAUAAAGAUCACACACACAAGUGAGGCAAAUGACCAUCUGAGGGUUGAGGAAACUCUGCUGCAAGGGUUGCCCACGAUCCUGGUUUCUUGUGUUUUAUUACUUUGUCAUUCCCUAGGAUGUUGUCUCCAUUUACAAGGCCAAAACAGGUUCAUCAUCAGCUCAUCACUCUCUAGUCCCGGGAAGGGCAGCAUGGAGUUAAAAUGACAGAGGAAGAAGGCAUUUUCACACAAGGCUGGCCAGAUGGGAAGAAUCUUCAGCUUCAGCUUCAGCUUGGCCUCAUUCAUUUGAAAAUAAAAUGUUUACAUGAGGCCGCGCCUGUGUCCAGCUGAAAGUGGGUCCUUCAGAGCGUGUGGGGGAUUCUCUGCCGGCUUGAUGGGCUAGCUCCUCUAAGCCGGCUGCUGGAGACAUCACCGGCUGAGGGACUCCUGCAAACGUUCAUACAUGAUUUGAUCCUGAAAGGAGGGAGAACACAGAAUACAGAGACCGUCACUGCUUGUUUUGGGCUGAAUGGUGCCCCCCAAAAUUCACAUGCUGCAGUCCGCACCCGCAGGACCUCAGAAUGUGAUUGUAACUGGAGAGAGGGUCUUUAUAGAGGAGACUGGAUUAAAAUGAGGUCAUACAGGUAGACUCUUAUCCAAUAUGACUGCUCUCCUUACAAAAAGAGGGGAUUAGGGCACAGGAGGGAAGAGCAUGUGCGCAGAGGGAAAAGCACAUGCAGGCGCUGGGAGAAGACAGCCAUCAGUGAGGACAAAGGCUCCAGAAGAACCAAUCCUGCCCAACACUCUCCAGAACUGUGAGAAAAUAAAUUUUCCACUUUUUAAGCCAAAAAAAAAAAAAAAA